CUAAGGGUAUGUCUAGUGGUGAGGACAUUGGGCUCUAAAUCCAAUUGUUGGACACACCUACCACACUUAGA
rnacentral:tRNA from 1 species